AUAAAGUUUAAUUUUAGCUUAUAAAUUUAUUUAAUUUUUUUUUUACAUGUAAAUUUUAGUAUGAAUUUAAUAAUAAUUUAAAUAAUUAAUAUUAAAAAUUUUAUUCGCAGUAUAAAGUUUUAAUUAUUUAAGAGAUUAAGAAUUAUGAAUAAAUUUAAAUAUUAACAAAAUUUGUGCCAGCAGUUGCGGUUAUACAAAAAAUAUAAAUAAAUUUUAUUAGUGAAUAAUUAAGUGAAUUUAAUUUAAUUAAAAUAAAAUUUAUAAAGUGAAAUUUAAAAUUUUAAAUAAUUAUAAUUAAAAAUAAUUGAUAUUAUGAAAUUUAUAAAUUAAACUAGGAUUAGAUACCCUAUUAUUAUAAAUGUUAAUUUUUACUAUAGUAGUAUUAGUUAUGAUCUUGAAAUUUAAAAAUUUUGGCGGUAUUUUAGUCUAUUCAGAGGAACCUGUUCUAUAAUUGAUAAUCCACGAUAAAUUAUACUUUAUUUAUUAGUUUAUAUAUCGUCGUUAUUAAAUAUUUUAUUAGAAUUAUAAUAUUUAAGAUUUUUAAUUAGAAAAUAUAUCAGAUCAAGGUGUAGUUUAUAAUAAAGAAGAAAUGGGUUACAAUAAAUUUAUUUAUGAAUUUGUUUAUAAAAAUUAAUAAUGAAAUUGGAUUUGAUAGUAAUAAAUUAUAAAUUUAAUUUAUGAUUUUAGCUCUAAAAUGUGUACAUAUCGCCCGUCACUCUUAUUAUAAGAUAAGAUAAGUCGUAACAAAGUAGAUGUACUGGAAAGUGUAUCUAGAAUGA
rnacentral:ncRNA from 1 species